rnacentral:lncRNA from 1 species
AAAUAUGAACGAGUCCAGGCCUUUAUUGGGCAUGUAUUCGUACACCAACAUUCUUUCUCCCUCCUGCACAGAGCAGCCGAGAAGCUUCACAAGGUUUCGGUGCUGAAGUUGAGCAAUGCAGGAAACUUCAUUUUUAAACUCUUUCAAUCCUUGCCUCGAAUCCUUCGAAAGCCUCUUUACAGCUAUUUCUUUUCCAUCAUCGAGCAUACCCUAAAACAAAUCACUGAUAAACUUUCAUCUUCUCUAAUGGGAUAAAAUGACAUUUUCUUUCGUCAAUUACUCUAAUGAAGAAGCAAGACCAUGUACCAAGAGCUACACAUGCUUCAACUCGUGAUGUUUCUGAUUUCGUAAACAAUUAUUUUAUUUGUUGGGUUAUGCUUAGGGGUGGCAAUCGUUUCGUUUUGUAUAAUUUUUUUCGUGUACACGAAGGUGAAACCUGUAUCCGCCCGUUAUUAAUUUCGUGUACCUAAUUUGAAAUCCGUAUCCGAUCCGAAACGUUUCGUGUAUAUUUCGUUUACUUUUCCAGUAUAUUAUAUAUAAAAAUAUUAAUAUAUUUUUUAAUCAAAAAAAUAGAUUUAAUAUAUAUUUUCCUUUAUAAUUUUAUUAAAUGUGAAUGAUAUAUUUAUACAUGUAUACAAUUCUAUGUAAAUUGUUAAUGUGUCUACAAUAUAUAUCCACACAUACAUAUAAAUAUAUACUUUUUACACAAUUAUAUAUCUGAUAUAUCAUAACAUAUAUAUAAUAAAUAUUAUGUACAAAUAUUUCGUGUACUUUCGUGUACCCCAAUUAAAAACCCAUAUCCGAUACGAAAUCUAUAGUGUACUUUCGUGUUUCGUGUAUCGAAAAUCAAAACCAAUAUCAUUUUUUUCGUGUCGUUUCAUUUCGUGUUAACGUGUUACGUGUCAAAUUGUCAGGCCUAGUUCUACUAUACAAUUUAGUUGACUUUUAACCUUGAUCAGAUGCUGGCAUGACAAUUACCUUAUAGACAGGCCCAAAGCCACCUUCUCCAAGCAUGGAGUAUUUUGAGAAGCCAUUGGUUGCAAUAUCUAAGGUUGUGAUGUCAAACAAUGGCAACUCUAAAUCCUCGGCACCCAUCUCAUUGCUCCCACAGUUUUCAAAAUACGGGUCUGUUAUCCCUGCAUUUUCCAUGUGCAAACUCAUACAGUAAAGUAAAAGCAUAAACUUGAAAAUUCGAAAGAAGACAUUGAAUUGUUGUAAUACCUUCUGUGUGCUUCUUCUUCUUCUUUUUGUUCCUGAUUACCCACAGGCAUACACACAUCAUUGUUACCGUCAUUAGAAUAGGUAUCCAUACGAACCUUACUUUGGAUCUCCCUUUUUUGCCUUCAUAAUUAAACAGGAAGUGAAUCAAUUUACUAUAUUCCACAAAACAGGGAAAGACAUAUAUGUAACAAGUAGUUCUGAAACCGGUAGACGGUAUUAAAUGAAAACAUUCAGAGUACCUAAUUCAGAUGCAGCCAUUCUUAUGUAAAGAACUUGACCGUUCUCUUUCUCAUCUCUAAUAUCAAUAAGCUCAUUAAACCACAACAAGCAUCCGCUUCCACUGCCUCGAACAUCUGUAUUUGCAUAAGCUGUGCAUGAGCAAUUGCUCAAGCAUUCUUUCUGGCACUCGUCAAGGUUCAUAUUCUUAUCAAACCAGGAACGCUGAGUAUCUGGUAAUUUCAAGCCUGAAUGUUUCACAAAUCCCUCUCCAUUCCCACAACUCAGUUUUUCUUUCCUUGCACAGCCUCUGGACCAGUCUGUAGCAUCCCAUCCUAUUUUAUCUUUUGGCUGAAAACCACGGAAACACAUGCACUUAGGAGAAUUGUCAAUGUUACAGCUCCCAUAAGCUCCACAUACCCUAUAAUAAUCACAAUCAUCAAUUGGUCCAGCAAGAAAACGCUGCCAAAUUCGAGAUUUUUCAAUCCAUACCCAUCUUUGUAUAUAACCUAAUGGAUUCAACACCCUCCUUGUAUAAACUGAACUAUUAACAGCUUCGUAAACAUAAUAUAACUCCUUGUCAUUAGAAACAAAAUUAAUCGUGUAAAUUUGGUUGGGGCUCAAGUUGGGCGUUCCAGAAAAUCUAAGGCCAUUCCAAGAUCCCCCACGUGAAUCUAUAGCCGAACCUUUCCUUAUCAUGAGCUGUGGAAAUCCAUUACGGUCAAUAUGAUUUGUAUAUUCACCUGGAGAUGGAUCAUCAAGACUCUUCCAGGAAGUGAGGUAUCUUUCUAGCCCCGUUUCCAAAUUCCACCCGAGCUUAGCACCUGGUAAAUGAGUGUUUCCAGGUUUAUCAAAACUUUGCCACAGGUAAUUAUCAGUCUCACUUUCAUCUCUAAUAACAAGAUUCCCAGAAUCCAGCAGCUGCACAACAGGAUUAUUCACAGAUGCCGUGGAGUUUGACGACCAAACCACAUCAUCAGAAGCAUUGAGAAUGACAAGAUUUCCGUUGCUGUUAAGUCUCAAGAUAUUUGAUGUAGUAUUGAGAGGAGCUUCUCUGUUGGCAAUCCACACAAUUGUCUUUUCCGCUAUCUUCUUGUACCAUAUACCCACGUACCGAUUUGCCGAACUCCCAACAGUUACAAAGCCAAGUUCGAAAUGAGCAGCAGAUGAAACAAUAGUGCUUCCAUCAUCUCUAAGGAUUUGGUCUGGUCCUAUAAUAUCUCCGGCUGCUGCUACUGUACAGUUUAGUGAAACUGAAAAUAACAAAAUGCAGACUAAAAAAAGCUUCAAAACUGUUGUAGAGCUGCAGCCUUCCAUUAACUUUGUUAUAUUAUUUCAGUUGUUGCUCAGAGAGAAAUGAAAAAUUAACAGUGUCCCCCCCGCCUUUUAAUUGUGGAUUUUACAUGUAGCUUUCCGAGAGGUAUUCCCCUUCCCUAACGUUAUGUCUGUCAAUUAUGCACCACACACGUUUCCAUCGGCAUCUGUAAUAUCAGCAGGAAUUCCCUUAUGAAACUUCGAAGUCCUUCCUUUAUUUGUGCCUGCUAUCUGCAUGACUUGUUUACUACGCUGAGAUUGAAAAACUUUCAAUAACAGUCUUUUUUAUUAGUUUAUAUGAAGAGACCAGCCUGGGAAACCACAUAUGUUGUCCGAGGUUUGCAAUGUUGUCUCAAUACAAAAGUGAUCUAUAGAAUCCGCCCCCGAAUCAUUUACAUAUCACAACAAGGCUGUGGUUACCAUCCAUUUUUACCCAAGGAAUCUAGUCCGUUGCAAUUUAUCAACUAGGGAUGCUGAUUUUUUAAAACUGCAGCCUGGCUUGGUCGAAAGUUUAAAGACAAGUAGACAACCCGCAUGUAAUAACAUAAAAAGCGCAUAAACCAAACCAUAUAAAUAUAAAUAUGGUGUGUUUUGCGUGCUUUAUAAAUUUAAAAAAUAAAUACUUUUAAUUGAAAUUAUGAAUAAAAUAUAAAUAUAUGGUGAUGAAAAUAUUUUUUAUAAUAAAUUUAUUUCAAAUUUAUAAUCUCCGAGUUGCAUACUAAAAAAAAUUUAAGCAAAAAUGUUUAUUUAAUAAUAAUGAGUAUCAGGACAUGUAUUAUUAUAAUAUAAUCAGUUUAUAGAAUUUAGUAUAAUAGUAAUACAAGAAGCUAGAUUUAUUAAAUAAUAACUAAUUAACUAUUUGGUUUCGAAAAAAAAUAAUUAAUCAAUUAUUAUUUGAAGAAGUUUAACAAAUAUACACAUAACAUAAUUGUAAAUUAUAUAUAUAUAUAUAUAUAUAUAUAUAUGUGUGUGUGUAUAUAAUGAGUUGGGCUCAAUGGAGAUCGUAAACUUUGGAGUCAUCAGAGACUACAAGAUCUACCGUUAAAAUAAUCUGACAAUUAAUAGACAUAAUUAAAUAUUCUUUAUCCUGCAUGUAUAGUAAUGUAAUAUUAAUAAUUUACACUAUUCUUAUCCUACAUUUCUAGUAAUAUAUUAUUAAUAUUCUCGUCCUGCAUUUCAUGUUUUAGUUUUAAUUCAAAACUAUCUUUAUAAUUUACACUAUUCUUGUCCUUCAUUUUUAGUAAUGUAAUAUUAAUAAUUUGUCCCUCAUAUUUGUGAUAUAUCUAAGUGUUAUUUUUGUCUUGCAACAAAUUCAAUUCGUUGCCGGACAAUGACAAUAAAUUUAAUGCUAAUCAUAACAAUUUCCAACUACAUCUUUGUUUGUUUUGUAUGCAAUUAUUAAUUUUAUUUGUUAAGAUUUCGGUGAUCGAAGACCAAUAUUAUGAAAUUAUUAUUUUAUGUUAGGCAGGAUUUAGAAGUACUACUUGUUAUUCACCGAUUUAGAAGUGCAGAAUAGGAUAAUAUUGCAGCACUUGGAUGUGUAAGAAAUGGCUUUUACUUAAUUCAAUAUUUGUAUACAGUGGUACUUUCUAAACUAUAAGAGCAUCUCCAAUGACGUUAGCUAUAAUUGUUGGCUAAAUUGGACCUGUAAGACAUUAUGUAAAAUUUGCUGAACCUGUAAGACAUUGUGUUUCAAUGGUAUUGGCUAUAUUGGUUGGCUAUGAUUUAAAAAUAGUAUGUUAUUAAUAUUUAGAUGUUAUAAAUAAAAUAUAUCAGUUUAAUAUGUUAAUUAAUAAUAUUUAAUUAGCAGGAAGGAGGAAAAUAAAUUGCGGGAAAUGACGUGGAAUUCACUACAGAUCUGUAGUGGUUCGACAAAUAUAGCUAUACAUAGGAGGAUGGCUAUAAUUAUACAUAAGGGCUUGUUGUGGUUGGAGUUAAUUUUUUAUGAAUAUUGGCUAUAAAAUUUAAUUUUGGAAAGCCACCUAGAUUUUUAGCUAAGGGCUUGGAAGGGUUGGAGAUGCUCUAAGCAAGAUAUAAAUUCUUUUGUCUGGCUUUGAUUCUAAUAAUUUUAAGGCAAACAAUACAUAAUUCAGUUGUAAAACCAGGUCAAAUUUAAAUUUGCAAGAACCGAACAUCUUUUGGUCUGCAGUCCAGUGGCAGAAGUCUCUUUACCAAGUUCCACACACUGUCGACCAAAUUUUCUUUCCAAAAAGAAAUGAGUGGUGACUUGCAUUUCUUCGCCCUCUAUUGACCGGAACCUUGUUGACAAGUUUGCAUAUCAACUUAGUCCUCCCCUUAUUCCUGUUUCGUGUGGCAAAAUAUUAGAACUUUAAAAGUUAAAUAAUUUAGUAUUAGAAUUGUGUUCUAAAAUAAAUAAAACAUUAGCCUGAACAGGUCCUGUGCUAUUGAUAAUGGAGCCAUCAAGCUCUGUUAUAUGAUAAGAUUUAAAAUAGAAUCGGAGUUGAUGCUAAAAUCUAACGAUGAAGUUUGGGAGGGAAACGGAUAACAGUGGUUGGGUCUGAGAGGGGAAUCAGUUGCUUCAAUCAAGAGUUUGCUGAUACAAUCAAUUACCACCAAAAUCUCAUGAAAAUCACUACGAAUAAGAAAGAGAUUUAGUUGCUGUAUAAAUAUAAUAAUGCUAAUAAUAUGUUUAUCUAGGAGCUAUAGCUGUCACACUGCAGUAGUUGGCUGAACACGAUGAAGAGUCUCCUUCGUGCACAUUCCUCUCGAUGAAAAAUCCUGGUUGCUUAGGUUGAGGCAGGGGAAGCUCACUGGUUAGCAUUAGCACCGCCGUUGCCAUGGUCGGCCUGUCUGCUGGAUAUUGUUGCACACAUAAUAACCCUAUUUGAAUAGCUCGAAACACUUCGUAUUGAUGUUCAGGGCUUAAAUUUUCAAUAACCUCAUCUACUAGGUCCAACGCGUUUCCAUCCAUAUAGGUUCUCCAUGACUAAAACAGUGGAAAUUUAGCGAUGAGUUCAAUUAGUAAAACAUAAGUAAUGACCAUUUUACUACUUUAUAUGAUGGUCCAGAAACUUACAUGUCCUAGAAAGUUAAGAUUGUGAUCUAGAUGAGUAAAAUUUUUGUUUCUUUUUCCGUUCACCGUCUCUAAAAUUAGUACCCCAAAGCUAUAAACAUCAGAUUUCACCGAAAAUAUGCCAUCCGCUGCAUACUCAGGAGACAUGUAACCACUGCAAGAACAUCUGAUCUAUCACAUUUUUGCUAAUAGAAACAUUAUUUCUUAGAAUGCAAGAUAUUCUUACUAUGUUCCAACUACUCUGGUUGUAUUGGCUCCUGUUUCCGUCUCUCCGCAGAUCCUUGCUGUGCCAAAAUCUGAAAUUUUUGGGUUCAUCUCAAGAUCGAGCAAAACAUUGCUGGCUUUAAGAUCCCUGUGUAUGAUCCGCAAUCUAGAAUCCUGAUGAAGAUAGAGAAGUCCCCUGGCGAUGCCAAUAAUGAUGUUAUACCGAGUAGGCCAGUCAAGCGUGUAUCUUUUCGUCUUAUCUAAUGAAAAGGUCAUUAAAGUUAAUCCAGUGCUGUGAAAACAAGGUGAAAAUUAUAUGAUUCAAAAAUUAAUACAUGAUCACUGUAACAGAGAAGAAGUAUACCAAAUAUGAACGAGUCCAGGCUUUUAUUGGGCAUGUAUUCGUACACCAACAUUCUUUCCCCGUCCUGCACAGAGCAGCCGAGAAGCUUCACAAGGUUUCGGUGCUGAAGUCGAGCAAUGCAUGAAACUUCAUUUUUAAACUCUUUCAACCCUUGCCUCGAAUCCUUUGAAAGCCUCUUUACAGCUAUUUCUUUUCCAUCGUCCAGCAU